CCUUCGGACUGCCCCAGGGAGGUCGGCAACGACCACCCAGGGGCGGAAAGUUCGUCAAACUCGGUCAUUUAGAGGAAGUAAAAGUCGUAACAAGGUCUCCGUAGGUGAACCUGCGGAGGGAUCAUU
rnacentral:rRNA from 1 species